UCUGAGACAGAGAGAGAUUAAAUGACUUGCCCAACAUCAUACAGCUGAUAAGUGGCAUGGCUGACAUUCCAUCUCAAACAGUUUGGCUCCAGAUUCCAUAUCCUGGACCACAGGGGACAGUGUACUGAGAUUGAUUACUGGAGCUCUCACUUCCACCUUCAUUGGCACUGGCAGACCUGGAGAUGGCGUACCAAAAGAAAGAAACUUGCUCUGCCUGAAAAAUAAAGUCCCGAAUGAACAGCUUGUUUCUUCACACAUCUCUUCUUUAAAGUGGAAAUAUUGGUGCAUAUGAAGUUGACUCAAUCAGGUAAUCUGUA